UACGUAGGUGGCAAGCGUUGUCCGGAUUUACUGGGCGUAAAGAGCGCGCAGGCGGUCGUGCAAGUCGCGUGUGAAAGCCCCCGGCUCAACUGGGGAGGGUCACGCGAUACUGAUCGACUGGAAGGCAGGAGAGGGUAGUGGAAUUCCCGGUGUAGUGGUGAAAUGCGUAGAUAUCGGGAGGAACACCAGUGGCGAAGGCGACUACCUGGCCUGUUCUUGACGCUGAGGCGCGAAAGCUAGGGGAGCAAACGGG
rnacentral:rRNA from 1 species